CAGCCGCCGCGGGAAAACGUAGGUGGCAAGCGUUGUCCGGAAUUAUUGGGCGUAAAGGGCUCGCAGGCGGUUUCUUAAGUCUGAUGUGAAAGCCCCCGGCUCAACCGGGGAGGGUCAUUGGAAACUGGGAAACUUGAGUGCAGAAGAGGAGAGUGGAAUUCCACGUGUAGCGGUGAAAUGCAUAGAGAUGUGGAGGAACACCAGUGGCGAAGGCGACUCUCUGGUCUGUAACUGACGCUGAGGAGCGAAAGCGUGGGGAGCGAACAGGAUUAGAUACCCCUGUAGUCCCUGUCUCUUAUAC
rnacentral:rRNA from 1 species